GAUGAACGCUGGCGGCGUGCUUAACACAUGCAAGUCGAACGGAAAGGCUCUGCUGUUGUCGGGUGCUCGAGUGGCGAACGGGUGAGUAACACGUGCGUAACGCGCCCUUGACUUUGGGAUAACUUCAGGUAAUUAGGGCUAAUACCGGAUAGGAACUCCUGCUUCAUGGUGGUGGUUGGAAAGCUUCGGCGGUUGGGGAUGGACUGGCGGCUUAUCAGCUUGUUGGUGGGGUAGUGGCAUGCCAAGGCUUUGGCGGGUAGGCGGCCUGAGAGGGUGACCGGGAACAUUGGGACUGAGAUGGAGACCAGACCCAAACAGGAAGGGGCGGUGGCAGAGAGUGCAAGAUGGCAGGAAGCCUGAUCUAGAAACGCCGGGUGCGGGUUGACGAUUUAGGGGUUGUAGACUGCUAUCGCAUGUGAUGAAGCGGAUGUGACGGUAAUCGGUAAAGAAGCACCGGCUAACUCCGUG
rnacentral:rRNA from 1 species